GAUGAGAACGCAGCGAAAUGCGAUAAGUAAUGUGAAUUGCAGAAUUCAGUGAAUCAUCGAAUCUUUGAACGCACCUUGCGCCCUUUGGCUAUUCCGAAGGGCAUGCCUGUUUGAGUAUCAUGAACACCUCAACUCUCAUGGUUUGCCAUGAUGAGCUUGGACUUUGGGGGUCUUGCCGGCCUAUGGGUCGGCUCCUCUCAAAUUAAUCAGCUUGCCAGUGUUUGGUGGCAUCACAGGUGUGAUAACUAUCUACGCUUGUGGUUUUCCAUCAGGUAACCUUCAGUGAUGGAGGUUCGCUGGGGCUCAUAAAUGUCUCUCCUCAGUGAGGACAGCUUUUUUGAACGUUUGAUCUCAAAUCAGGUAGGACUACCCGCUGAACUUAAGCAUAUCAAUAAGCGGAGGA
rnacentral:misc_RNA from 1 species